GUAUCAUAGUACGUCCCAUCUGUGCUUGACUGCUUGUAACAGAAAUGCUAUACUUCACCCAUGCGUUUUCUGGUUUGUUGGCACACAAAUUUUCUGUCCGUAGGAUGAAGAAUCGACGUGUGGUCGUGCCCAUUUGCCUUGUGACGCUGAUUUACCGGGCCCACUCUGAGCAUUACUGUUUCAAAUUGGGAAUCGUGCCUGUCUGUGUCUCAUUUCCUCAUCGUCUUCUCCCCUUCCCCUCCGACGCUCGCCUGCCUAGAGAGGCGAUUCGGGAGGUGACCUCGCUGCUCCGCCGCGCCCCAUCUCUACGCGUCGCCUCCUCGUCAUCGAUUCGGUGUCUCCGUGUCGUCUGCCAUUGCCAGAGCUUGGAAGCACAGAGAGUUGAAUAAGCUUAUCUUGGAGAGCCGCUGAAGCUCCUUGUUGAUAGAGGGACAUUGAGGUCCUUGUACCACAGCCCUGAGGCUGAGAAACGUGCAGUGAGUACUUGUCUUGCAGUUAUCCAUUCUAAACAAGUAUUGUUUUCCUGUUCUAUCAAUUCUUCGGAGCUGUAUCGCGCUAUGUGAAGUUAGUUCUAUGAACCAAGAGAUCCCGUGGGGUUCAAUUGGUGCUGAAUAUGUUGUUGAGUCUACUGUUAUUUUCACUCACCAGGAGAAGGCUGCAGCUUACUUGAAGAAAAUGCAUAUAUCUGAAGCCUAAACUUGAGAAGUUGGCAGCAGAAUACCAUCCAAGCUCUCCGCGGGGAAGCCAGAAAAUUGACAUGCUCCGCUCAGUUGUGUAUAGCCUUGGAAUAUGUUGAUCGUUCCGGAUGGUGCAUGUCAUGUUGAUCGUUCCGGACGGUGCAUGGUUCCGGAUGGUGCAUGUCACUGUCACGCUCAUGAUGUCCCAAGCAGAUCUUAUCAUCUCUACUACCUUAGGCAAAAACAUGACGGAUUCCCACUACAAGCUCACACAGUCUCUCCUGACCCUGGUCAGACGGGCAGACACUAGACGAUGGCCAAGCGCUAGUCGAGUGUCUACCAUGCGCAAUGCCGGUCUAUUACAGCCAACCUUCUAUAGCCCUUUGAAGACUACUUACUAGUUCUACUAGGACUAGAAUAAGCUACCCAGAAGACUGUUGAUGUGCGCUCAGCUAAGGACUGUAGGGGUGGAAGGGGUGCUAGUUUUAAUAUCAUUCCUAGCAGCAUUGGAGCUAAGCCUUUUAGACCACAUCACAACCUCCCAAGUGCUGGAUCUGCUUCUUGUGCACAGUGAGCAACCAGGGCCGCUCUUGGAGCAAGCACAAGCAGCAGUCCACUUUUUGCCAUCCUGACUGUGUCUAUAGCUCCCAUGAUUACAUAUUCCAUGGAUCUAGGUUCUCCUAGUCUUUCAUCUCACCUGUUAUUUUGUUUGUUGUUGCUUCUUUAGAGAAAUUGAUUUACCAGAGAAUUUGAUUCAAAAGAUUGGUGUAGUAACCUUAUCUGAUGAGGUAUGAAUCAGACUUGUAGUGCUUAUUCUUCAAAUUUCCUUUGCAAUCUGAUUCCUGCCCCUGUUCUCUGCUCUGCAUGAGCAGAGCAGAGCUUUUCCCAAUGCAAAGUAGAUCUAUUUUGUUUGCUUUGCUUUUUCCCAAGUCUUAUCUUUUGUUUUAUUUCUAUGGAUUCUCUAUUGUUGGGUUGUUUUUCUAGACUGCUGCAUGUUUCAUGGACCACUUUCUUUUUUUUUAGUUAUUGGGCUUUACAGUUUUAUUCUUCGGUUGCACAGACAUUACAACAGAUCGGCUCUGCGUGGGCUUUGUUUUAAAAUCAAGUGUUUUAUAGGCAGCCAGCAACCGUGUGCUAGCUUGUGCUAAAACACAUGGUUUUUGCUCUGUUGAAAAUCAUGUGUUCUGCAAGCAGCCAACAACCAUGUGCUAGUUUGUGGCUAAACACACGGUUUUUUCUCAGUUACAAAUCGUGUGUUUUGCUACCAGUAAACAACCAUGUGCUAGCUUUUGCUAAAACACAUGGUUGUAUAGUAGACAGACUCGCUUGUAAAGGGGCUGGCAUGCCGUGGGCAGUAGUUGCACCAUGCCAAUGUGCCGGUGUACCGUGCUUGCCUGGACGAGAUCGAGGGACGGGGCUACAAUCCCAAUAGUCCUGGACGACGAGGAGCUCUGUUGGUUUGCCUUCGGCAGUUGCCACUUCGGAAGCGCCGCGGCCCGUGGCAACUCGGAGCUAGAGAAGGGAAAGAGACUCUGGGCUGCGAGGACCAAGAUGUGAACUGGAGGCCCACGGGCUCGUUUUCUCUUUAUGAGCCAAAUUCCACCAGUACGAUCCAGGUAGGUCGUUCUGGUUAAUGGACUACUAGCGGCCUGUUUGGAUUCACAAAGAUUAUAGAAGCUGGCUUCUAGAAUCUAGGGAGCCAUCCAAAAGUCCUAGCUUAUAGCUAGCUUUAAGAACCCAGAGACCUACAGAUUCCACAAUCUGGUAAGCUGAGGGAACCCAACUUCUUACAGCUUCUAGUCAUCAAAAGACUAUCCUGCCCCUAUCUCUUUCUUCCAUAGCUACAACAUAAAGUAAAAUAGUGAAGGUGAUAAGAUGGUAAUUUGGGAUGGCAGAGUCGGCAGAAAGUCAGCUAGAGCAGGUCGUUUUGUUUCUAAAAGUGUCGGCAGAAAAGUACUUAUUUAGCAGUACUUUGUCAGGGAUGGAUUUGUCUUUGCUGUCAAAGAAGCAUCGUUGAUUGGUCCAGAAAGCUAUGCAAAGCAAAGCGCAAGUCAGCUCGAGCAGGUAGCUUUGUCUCUUAGCAGUAAGUCGCGGUGAAUCUUUUUCGGUUUUUCCCUUUAAAUAGCUGCUCGUUUAUACGUUAACGUAAUUUCGGUGCAAAAAGAUUCUAAACAUGAUUCACCAACUCCAAGUUUUCAUCAGGGCUUUCUACGAAUAAAUCUAUAUGUUUCUGUUAGCGAAGAUGUGUGCCACUCUUUGUUUCCGUCUGAAUUCUUCUCAGGGUUUAUUCUGAUAAGGUUCAGUGAUCAAUCAUAUAUUCCCAAUCAGCUGAGCACAUCACUGCCCCCAUAAUAAAUACCUUCGUUUCAGAUUUAUGUUUAGUUUUGCACACAUAUAACUUUGAGAUGUGAUGUGACCAUCCACUCUUAUCCUGCAUGUGAAUUUUUAGGCAGUGAUCACCACUGUAUAUUGAAUGAAGUGCUUCAAGUUUUUUUUUUUCUGGAGUAUAGAUUGUAUCUUUUUUUUUUAGAAAAAAAGUCACCAUUUCUGAUCUGGGUUUGUCAGUGAAGGUUCUUUGGUAUUAGUAUCUGAGAUGCGUCCGUUGGAAGAAUCAACGGCCUCUGCAUAUACAACGCAGAUUCUCAUGGGACUUCCCUAUCUGCAUCAUAAUGUAACGCAUAGUGAUAUUAAAUGUGCAAACAUUUUACUUGACCUAAAUGGAGCAGUGAAAGUGGGAGAUUUUGGAGUGGCAAAGCAGAUCAAAGUGUGGAAGCAAAAAAGAUCCUGUGCAGAAAGUGUGUAUUCGAUAGCUCCUGAGGUAUAUGAACUCAUUCCACUCUCCAGCAGUUUUGCAUGCUAGUAUCUUGACUGCAAGAAUGAAACUGUUCAUUCAAAGGCAGGCAGUGUUUUCCUUCGUCCAGACUAGCAAAAAGUCAAAAUUCAGGUCAUACGCGGGGCUCCAUACGGGCGUUCUGCUGACAUCUGGAGCCUUGGGUGCACUGUCCUGGAGAUGCUCAUCCGAAAACCUCCAUAUCGUGACGAGAACUGGGUUAUGUGACUUUACAAACUGCGUUCACAUGAUUCAGUCAGUGGUUCUCUGAACAUGCCUACACAAUCCUGUAAUGUAAGGCUAUCUCUAACAGGAGAGCCAUUUGGGAACCCAAACCCAAAAUGGGUCUCCAACACAAUACCUAUAGCCUCCAACAGAGGACCCAUACAGAAGACCCACUUUGGGUAUCAGGAGAGGCAUAACCCAAAUUUGGGUAUCCUCUC